CCUACGGGAGGCAGCAGUGGGGAAUAUUGCACAAUGGGGGAAACCCUGAUGCAGCGACGCCGCGUGAGUGAAGAAGUAUUUCGGUAUGUAAAGCUCUAUCAGCAGGGAAGAAAAUGACGGUAACUGAUUAAGAAGCCCCGGCUAACUACGUGCCAGCAGCCGCGGUAAUACGUACGGGGCAAGCGUUAUCCGGAUUUAAUGGGUGGAAAGGGAGCGUAGACGGCAGCACAAAUCUGGAGGGAAAUGCCGGGGCUUAACCCCGGAACUGCUUUGGAAACUGUGCAGCUAGAGUGCAGGAGAGGUAAGUGGAAUUCCUAGUGUAGCGGUGAAAUGCGUAGAUAUUAGGAGGAACACCAGUGGCGAAGGCGGCUUACUGGACUGUAACUGACGUUGAGGCUCGAAAGCGUGGGGAGCAAACAGGAUUAGAUACCCCAGUAGUC
rnacentral:rRNA from 1 species